AGUGCUCUGCUCUCCACCAUCGCUUCCACCUGCAACCCUAAUAUUUUCAUAUUAGAGAAGUGGACGGUAGAGAAAGGAGCCAUUAUGGCUAAAUCUUUCUAGUCUUGAGAUUCACUACUGUCAAAGAUUAACCAUGAUUCCGGCCCGAGGGAUUGAGGUUCAUUGGUUCACUCAUAAAGUGUUGGCAAUCCGUGAAGAAUUUCAGAACAGGGUUCGAGGAGAGGAUUUCGACAAAAUCUGCCACAAUAUUCCUUCAGUAAGGAUCCUUCCACCUCUAAAUCGUAUUUUGAUACAGAUACGUCUUGAACAAAGCUUUAAUCCUGGAAGCCUUUCAUUCAGUGAUGUAAUUUUUUCCGCCUUCUUCUAUUUCCCAUUGUUCUUGUUUAACUCCAUUUUAUAGCUUCAUCUAUCAGAAUAUAUAGUGAGUACUACACUUUUUAUCGUUUACCUGCUCCUUCCUUCCUACUCGAAUCCAUGUUCUGAAUACUGUGAGAUCCAAGCUGCUUUUCGUAUUUGCUACUGCAGAUGAUGCCAAAGAAUCUGUAAAGAAGGGAAUUCGCUUGAGGUGAAAACCUUCUGAAGUUUUUUGACCAUGGGCUUAUUUUUUGCUUAUCUCUGCUGCAGAUUGCUGUUAGUUAUCUUGAUAAUUGAUAUUUUAACCUUUCUGGUCAAGUUGUGCAUUUCUUAAUGAUUGAAGGCCUGCUUUUGUUUCUGCUUCCUCUCACUAAUUUGUUCUAUUGUGACUGGAGUGGGUUUGAAUUCAGUUAGUUAAAUCGAGUCCAAGUUGCUUCCUCUCACUAAUUGAAUUGAGGGUUGAUAUCAAAGUGGGUGGCAUAUGAUUCUAGGUAGUCAAUGAAUUGUUUCUUGGUGGCGUAAUCAGGGUAAUAAUCAGGGAAGGGGAACUUAUUAGCUAUCCCGAAUAACAAGACAGAAAUGAAACCAUAUCCAUUUUAUCUUUCAUAUCCAUUUUUGUUCAGGUGGACUUGUUCUAGUUUUGUUUGGCUCAUUUCUUGUCUUGUUCAUCAGAUGUCUAAUGACAAAAGAAGUUCCUUUGCACCUGUUUCUCUGGCUCAGUAUAUCUGAUGCUGUCUUCCAUACAAACAAAAACUUGGUCCUUAAAUUAAUCCAGGAUCAAUAGAAUCUUCCCUUGUACUACUAUUAUAUAUCAUUUGUCUAAAUUAUACUACUGCUUCAUAUGGAUUGCUGGUGGUAGUAUUUUAUCUUCACUCUGAUGGAUUUUCUGAAAAAGUUUAAAUGAAUAAGAAAUAAGAAAUUUUUGGGUUCAAUUCCACCAGAAUUUGGUUUAUUUCUUGGUCGGAAUUCUGAAUUUUUACUGGAUUGUUACUGGAAAUGAUGGAAUUGAUGACCCACCCCACUAGUUACAAUAUGAUGUAGUUUUGCAGCAUGAUAUUUAUACCAGUUUUCUUCAUUGAAAGUGGUACUGAAUUCAAGAGAACCAAUAGUGCAGCAAACUUUGGCUACUGGACAAUAACUUCGUACAACCAUAUAAAAAUGUUGAUAGUUUUCUAGAAACGAAUUAAGUUUCAGCUUUUGUUGGUGGCUGGAAGAUUCUCCACAGGCUGCAGGAAGACUUGGCUUUUGGUGAAGGUGGUAGCGCAGAAGUUGUCCCCAAGGUGCUUGCAUCUCCAUGUAGGAGGAGGAGAGGUCUGCCUGACAAAUUGGCUGCAACAUAUCAAAAAGAUUAGUAGAGAAAAUAUAAUUUCUGCACGUAGUCCCAUUGGAUGAUUAUAGUUAAGUGGGGAACAAUUUAUAGCAUUUCUUGGGAUCUAAUGCUUUUUUAAAAUUGCUUUGCAUUCUUUCUCAAAGUUAAGGAGCUUUUGUAUAAGUGCUCUUCCUGUAUUCUAUUUAGCAAGUACUUGACUGUGUGUGAAUUGGUCAUCUGACAGUCUUAAGUUUUGUAUUUUCCAACAUCUCCUCCAAAGAAGCUGGUAAAUAUUAGUACAAAGGUUCGGUCGUGUAUUUAUCAUAUUGUGUUACAAAAACAAGAAGCCUCGGGACUUUGUCUUCAUGAUUGAGAUCUAUUCUACAUUUUUUCAUUUCGUGGUGCACAGUUCUUUAUUCGGUAGAGUCAUAAAUUUUACCCUACUCGAUUAUCACCAAAAAAGUCAAUUUGUAUAUUGUCUUCUUUUUCACUAUUUUCUUGGGUCAGGUAAUUUGUGAGUAAUUAACUGUCCGG
rnacentral:lncRNA from 1 species